GCUGGCGGCGUGCCUAAUACAUGCAAGUAGAACGCUGAAGAGAGGAGCUUGCUCUUCUUGGAUGAGUUGCGAACGGGUGAGUAACGCGUAGGUAACCUGCCUUGUAGCGGGGGAUAACUAUUGGAAACGAUAGCUAAUACCGCAUAACAAUGGAUGACACAUGUCAUUUAUUUGAAAGGGGCAAUUGCUCCACUACAAGAUGGACCUGCGUUGUAUUAGCUAGUAGGUGAGGUAAUGGCUCACCUAGGCGACGAUACAUAGCCGACCUGAGAGGGUGAUCGGCCACACUGGGACUGAGACACGGCCCAGACUCCUACGGGAGGCAGCAGUAGGGAAUCUUCGGCAAUGGGGGCAACCCUGACCGAGCAACGCCGCGUGAGUGAAGAAGGUUUUCGGAUCGUAAAGCUCUGUUGUAAGUCAAGAACGGGUGUGAGAGUGGAAAGUUCACACUGUGACGGUAGCUUACCAGAAAGGGACGGCUAACUACGUGCCAGCAGCCGCGGUAAUACGUAGGUCCCGAGCGUUGUCCGGAUUUAUUGGGCGUAAAGCGAGCGCAGGCGGUUUGAUAAGUCUGAAGUUAAAGGCUGUGGCUCAACCAUAGUUCGCUUUGGAAACUGUCAAACUUGAGUGCAGAAGGGGAGAGUGGAAUUCCAUGUGUAGCGGUGAAAUGCGUAGAUAUAUGGAGGAACACCGGUGGCGAAAGCGGCUCUCUGGUCUGUAACUGACGCUGAGGCUCGAAAGCGUGGGGAGCGAACAGGAUUAGAUACCCUGGUAGUCCACGCCGUAAACGAUGAGUGCUAGGUGUUGGAUCCUUUCCGGGAUUCAGUGCCGCAGCUAACGCAUUAAGCACUCCGCCUGGGGAGUACGACCGCAAGGUUGAAACUCAAAGGAAUUGACGGGGGCCCGCACAAGCGGUGGAGCAUGUGGUUUAAUUCGAAGCAACGCGAAGAACCUUACCAGGUCUUGACAUCCCGAUGCUAUUUCUAGAGAUAGAAAGUUACUUCGGUACAUCGGUGACAGGUGGUGCAUGGUUGUCGUCAGCUCGUGUCGUGAGAUGUUGGGUUAAGUCCCGCAACGAGCGCAACCCCUAUUGUUAGUUGCCAUCAUUCAGUUGGGCACUCUAGCGAGACUGCCGGUAAUAAACCGGAGGAAGGUGGGGAUGACGUCAAAUCAUCAUGCCCCUUAUGACCUGGGCUACACACGUGCUACAAUGGUUGGUACAACGAGUUGCGAGUCGGUGACGGCGAGCUAAUCUCUUAAAGCCAAUCUCAGUUCGGAUUGUAGGCUGCAACUCGCCUACAUGAAGUCGGAAUCGCUAGUAAUCGCGGAUCAGCACGCCGCGGUGAAUACGUUCCCGGGCCUUGUACACACCGCCCGUCACACCACGAGAGUUUGUAACACCCGAAGUCGGUGAGGUAACCUUUUGGAG
rnacentral:rRNA from 1 species